rnacentral:rRNA from 1 species
UUGCCCGAAUCCUGACACAGGGAGGUAGUGACAAGAAAUAACAAUACAGGGCUACAUCUAGUCUUGUAAUUGGAAUGAGUACAAUUUACAUCUCUUAACGAGGAUCAAUUGGAGGGCAAGUCUGGUGCCAGCAGCCGCGGUAAUUCCAGCUCCAGUAGCGUAUAUUAAAGUUGUUGCAGUUAGAACGCUCGUAGUCGGAUUUCGGGGCGGGUCGACCGGUCUGCCGAUGGGUACGCACUGGCCGACGCGUCCUUCCUUCCGGAGACCGUCCCUACUCUUAACUGAGCGGGGGCGGGAGACGGAACGUUUACUUUGAAAAAAUCAGAGUGUUUCAAGCAGGCAUCUCGCUCUUGCAUGGAUUAGCAUGGGAUAAUGAAAUAGGACUUUGGUGCUAUUUUGUUGGUUUCGAACACCGAAGUAAUGAUGAGAAGGGACAGUCAGGGGCACUCGUAUUCCGCCGAGAGAGGUGAAAUUCUCAGACCAGCGGAAGACGAACCACUGCGAAAGCAUUUGCCAGGGAUGUUUUCACUGAUCAAGAACGAAAGUUAGGGGAUCGAAGACGAUCAGAUACCGUCGUAGUCUUAACCAUAAACCAUGCCGACUAGGGAUUGGGGGAUGUUAUUUAUUGACUUCCUCAGCACCUUACGGGAAACUAAAGUCUUUGGGUUCCGGGGGGAGUAUGGUCGCAAGGCUGAAACUUAAAGGAAUUGACGGAAGGGCACCACCAGGUGUGGAGCCUGCGGCUUAAUUUGACUCAACACGGGGAAACUUACCAGGUCCAGACAUUGUGAGGAUUGACAGAUUGAGAGCUCUUUCUUGAU